UAUGUGAUCGUCUCUCGCAUAUCAAUAAGCGGAGGAAAAGAAACUAACAAGGAUUCCCCUAGUAACGGCGAGUGAAGCGGGAAGAGCUCAAAUUUGAAAUCUUAAAGGGUUUCCCUUUACGAAUUGUAGUUUAAGGAAGUGUUUUCUGUUGAGGUUUUGGUAAAAGUUCUUUGGAAUAGGACAUCAUAGAGGGUGAGAAUCCCGUAUUUGACCUUUACUUUCAACUUUGUGAUACACUUUCAAAGAGUCGGAUUGUUUGGGAAUGCAGUCCAAAAUGGGUGGUAAAUUUCAUCUAAAGCUAAAUAUUGGCGAGAGACCGAUAGCGAACAAGUACCGUGAGGGAAAGAUGAAAAGAACUUUGAAAAGAGAGUUAAACAGUACGUGAAAUUGUCAAAAGGGAAGCGUUUGACACCAGUGUUGUUUUUCUGAAAAUCAAUUAAAGAACUGUUUAUGCUAAGUUGUUUAGACUUUAUCAGCUAUCUGUUUAGUUUUGAGCUUUUCUUUAAUGCACUUUUCAGUUAACAAGUCAACAUCAAUUUCUUUUGCUGUAAAAAAGCUUGAGGAAGGUGGCUUGAGAUUCGUCUUAAGUGUUUAUAGCCUCUUGCCUAUGCAGUCGGAGAGAUUGAGGUCUGCAGCGUAGAUCCUUCGGGGCUAAAUGCAUUUGUGCUAAGUUAUAGCAUUUUAUAGACAACUUGUUGACUAUGAUUUGUCUUGUAGCUUACUCGCUUAUGUUAUUUUACCUACGCUUAGGAUGUUGAUCUACAGAGCGAGAGU
rnacentral:rRNA from 1 species